UGGGGAAUUUUGGACAAUGGGCGAAAGCCUGAUCCAGCAAUGCCGCGUGUGUGAAGAAGGCCUUCGGGUUGUAAAGCACUUUUGUCCGGAAAGAAAUCCUUGGCUCUAAUACAGUCGGGGGAUGACGGUACCGGAAGAAUAAGCACCGGCUAACUACGUGCCAGCAGCCGCGGUAAUACGUAGGGUGCAAGCGUUAAUCGGAAUUACUGGGCGUAAAGCGUGCGCAGGCGGUUUGCUAAGACCGAUGUGAAAUCCCCGGGCUCAACCUGGGAACUGCAUUGGUGACUGGCAGGCUAGAGUAUGGCAGAGGGGGGUAGAAUUCCACGUGUAGCAGUGAAAUGCGUAGAGAUGUGGAGGAAUACCGAUGGCGAAGGCAGCCCCCUGGGCCAAUACUGACGCUCAUGCACGAAAGCGUGGGGAGCAAACAGGAUUAGAUACCCUGGUAGUCCACGCCCUAAAACGAUGUCAACUAGUUGUUGGGGAUUCAUUUCCUUAGUAACGUAGCUAACGCGUGAAGUUGACCGCCUGGGGAGUACGGUCGCAAGAUUAAAACUCAAAUUGAAUUGACGGGGUCAUGCUGUUUCCU
rnacentral:rRNA from 1 species